rnacentral:rRNA from 1 species
UUUAAACAUGCAAGUCGAGCGGUAACAGACAUAAAGAUUCAGCUUGCUGAAUCCGGUGCUGACGAGCGGCGAACGGGUGAGUAACGCGUAGGAAUCUACCCAGUAGCGGGGGAUAGCCCGAGGAAACUCGGAUUAAUACCGCAUACGCCCUGAGGGGGAAAGGGGGCAGUUUACUGCUCUCACUAUUGGAUGAGCCUGCGUAAGAUUAGCUUGUUGGUGGGGUAAUGGCCUACCAAGGCAACGAUCUUUAGCUGGUCUGAGAGGACGAUCAGCCACAUUGGGACUGAGACACGGCCCAGACAUCUACGGAUGGCAGCAGUUAAGAAUAUUGGACAAUGGGGGCAACCCUGAUCCAGGUAUACCGCGUGUGUGAAGAAGGCCCUAGGGUUGUAAAGCACUUUAAUCAGAGAAGAAGCAUUUUAAGUUAAUACCUUAAUAUGUUGACGUUACCUGAAGAAUAAGGACCGGCUAACUCCGUGCCAGCAGCCGCGGUAAUACGGAGGGUCCAAGCGUUAAUCGGAAUUACUGGGCGUAAAGCGCGCGUAGGCGGUUUAGUAAGUUGUAUGUGAAAGCCCUGGGCUCAACCUAGGAACUGCAUUCAAAACUACUAAGCUAGAGUACGAGAGAGGAGAGUAGAAUUUCUGGUGUAGCGGUGAAAUGCGUAGAUAUCAGAAGGAAUACCAAUGGCGAAGGCAGCUCUCUGGCUCGUCACUGACGCUGAGGUGCGAAAGCGUGGGUAGCAAACAGGAUUAGAUACCCUGGUAGUCCACGCCGUAAACGAUGAGAACUAGCCGUUGGGCAGAUUUAACUGUUCAGUGGCACAGCUANNGCAUUAAGUUCUCCGC